rnacentral:rRNA from 1 species
UACAGAGGGUGCGAGCGUUGUCCGGAAUCACUGGGCGUAAAGGGUGCGCAGGCGGCCGUGUGUGUGAGGCGUGAAAGCCCGGGGCUCAACCCCGGAAUUGCACCUCAAACUACAUGGCUAGAGCAUUGGAGAGGGAAGCGGAAUUCACGGUGUAGCAGUGAAAUGCGUAGAUAUCGUGAGGAACACCAGAGGCGAAGGCGGCUUCCUGGACAAUUGCUGACGCUCAGGCACGAAAGCGUGGGGAGCAAAAGGG